GGGCCCGCACAAGCGGUGGAGUAUGUGGUUUAAUUCGAUGCAACGCGAAGAACCUUACCAGGGUUUGACAUCCUGCGAAUCUCUUGGAAACGAGAGAGUGCCUUCGGGAGCGCAGUGACAGGUGGUGCAUGGCUGUCGUCAGCUCGUGUCGUGAGAUGUUGGGUUAAGUCCCGCAACGAGCGCAACCCACGUCUUUAGUUGCCAGCAUUUAGUUGGGCACUCUAAAGGGACUGCCGGUGAUAAGCCGGAGGAAGGUGGGGAUGACGUCAAGUCCUCAUGGCCCUUAUGGGCUGGGCUACACACGUGCUACAAUGGUGAUGACAGAGGGCAGCUAACUCGCGAGAGUACGCUAAAUCCCUAAAAAAUCGCCUUAGUUCAGAUUGCACUCUGCAACUCGAGUGCAUGAAGUCGGAAUCGCUAGUAAUCGC
rnacentral:rRNA from 1 species